GUAAUUACUUUCACAUUUAUGUUCUAAUCCCGUUGUUCCGAUUCGAUGUAAAAUUAUGAACUAAAAUUUCUUAAGCAAUAUUAGUUCCGAGAAUGAGAGAGACAAGCGCAGACUUUGUAAAAAGCACGUUAACAUUAAAUUGAAAUAGAAAUAUUAAGACUACGAUAAUAAUUUCAGAAGUGGGAUAGACACCUUUGUAACAUCCGCCUUCAUAAACAUUUUGGCUAUUCGAGAACUUACAAUUUUUUUGCGACUCCAUUUUGGAAUGGACAAGUCGGAAAUUUUAGAGUGGCUUGAAGCCAAGGAAAUCGUGUUCCCAAUAAGUGCAAUUUUAAGACAACUGCGCAAGCUUGCUUUUGACGCCGGUUGCCAGAAUGCGGCUGAUAUCCCGGAAAGAACAUUGGGGGAAGAAGGCGCCAAACUUGAGCUACCCUUAUGGCGGCGUCAGGUAGUGCUUCUUCUUCGUCGAUGUCUUCGCUAGCUGUUACCUUUGAAAGGUAAAAACUAUUUCGUAUAGAUUUGAGCCUCGCUUUUUAAUUUAGUUUUGUCGUGAACUCCAAUAAAUAAGCAAAAUUGUA